UUUGUGAAAUGACUUAAGAGGUGUAGUAUAAGUGGGAGCCGAAAGGCAAAAGUGUAAUACCACUACUUUUAACGUUAUUUUACUUAUUCCAUGAAUUGGAAGUAGGGCACUAAUGUUGGGCGUAUUUAUAUGUCUAAGCACCAUAACUUACCCAUGUUUUAGCUAAGUUUUGAGGAUAAA
rnacentral:ncRNA from 1 species